UGCCGCAAAUCACAGAUAUAUGCUGUCUCCAUAACAAUUUGGAUUGUGCUUGGUUUUUUGCUCCUAGCAUUGAUACGGGAAUAUGACUUUCCGCCUUUCAUGGUUCUGAUAAUAGCAAUAUUGAAUGAUGGGACCAUCAUGACAAUUUCAAAAGACAGGGUGAAGCCAUCUCCGAAACCCGACAGUUGGAAGCUUUAUGAAAUAUUUGCAACCGGUGUUGUCAUUGGCACUUAUCUUGCUUUAAUUUACUGUCUUGUUUUACUGGGUUGUAGGAAGCACUUCUUUCUUUGAGAACCAUUUUGGUGUGGAGUCUCUAUCCAGUACUGAAGAAAUUUCAUCAGCUAUGUAUCUUCAAGUCAGCAUUAUCAGCCAAGCUCUUAUAUUUGUUACCCGCAGUCAAAGUUGGUCAUUUAUGGAGAGGCCUGGGAUUCUCCUGAUGUGUGCAUUUGUUGUGGCUCAAUUGUUUUCCCAUUUUGCAUGGGUCCAAGCAGAUAGAAAAUCUGGGAGGCUUCGUGAUCUAAAGUAUCCAUUGAUUUCUUAUUUUACCAAAUCAAUUUCAAAAUCCUAUGGUGUGUUGAUUCUGGAUCAGGUAUGAGACUUUGUUACUAGAAGACUUUUACAAACUCGAGCUUUUCCACUACCAAUUACUGCAAUAGUUGUUGAUCCAACAGAGAUGAACUUAUUUUCUGGUGGUAUAGAUUACUAGUGGAUAUUUCUUUUUUGUAUACGGAGGACAUCAUUUUUGUAUGAUUAUCUGUUUGUAUGGAAUUAUUAUUUUGGGUUGGAUUAUAUUUGGUUUGUAUAGAAUUUGAUGU